rnacentral:rRNA from 1 species
CCUACGGGAGGCAGCAGUGGGGAAUAUUGGGCAAUGGGCGCAAGCCUGACCCAGCAACGCCGCGUGAAGGAAGAAGGCUUUCGGGUUGUAAACUUCUUUUGUCAGGGAAGAGUAGAAGACGGUACCUGACGAAUAAGCCACGGCUAACUUCGUGCCAGCAGCCGCGGUAAUACGUAGGGGGCAAGCGUUGUCCGGAUUUACUGGGUGUAAGGGGCGUGUAGGCGGGUUGACAAGUCAGUGGUGAAAUCCGGGGGCUUAACUGCAGAACUGCAAUUGAAACUGUUGCUCUUGAGUAAUGGAGAGGAUGAUGGAAUACCUAGUGUAGAGGUGAAAUGCGUAGAUAUUAGGAGGAACACCAGUGGCGAAGGCGGUCUGCUGGACAGAAACUGACGGUGAGGCGCGAAAGCGUGGGGAGCAAACAGGAUUAGAUACCCUUGUAGUC